UACGAAGGGUGCAAGCGUUAAUCGGAAUUACUGGGCGUAAAGCGUGCGUAGGCGGCUUUUUAAGUCGGAUGUGAAAUCCCCGGGCUCAACCUGGGAAUGGCAUCCGAUACUGGGGAGCUGGAGUUUGGGAGAGGGUGGUGGAAUUCCCGGUGUAGCGGUGAAAUGCGUAGAGAUCGGGAGGAACAUCAGUGGCGAAGGCGGCCACCUGGCCUAAAACUGACGCUGAGGCACGAAAGCGUGGGGAGCAAACAGG
rnacentral:rRNA from 1 species